CAGCGAUGAGGAAAACAUCUGUGUCCAGAGUUGGUCUUCUAUGGAGGUCCUUCAAUGACGGUAAACACAACCCUCUAAGAAGUUCUGAGCUC
rfam:Beta vulgaris subsp. vulgaris Bvchr5.sca007.con0095.1, whole genome shotgun sequence.